AAAGGAGUUGUCGUUAGGUGGU
rnacentral:snRNA from 1 species